AAAACAGAGACAGUGAGAGAGAACAUCUAAUGAUCUGUAUUAGUAAUCAAAAACAUCACAAACACUAUUUGUCUUUGUACCUGCAGUGAAAAGAAUGAAGAGAAGAAAAACUGAGAUUUGCAGAUCCAUCUUUGAUCAGGAGGAGAAUAGCCGGUGGAUCCGUAGGCACAGACAGAGGGUCGAGGGAGCUGAGCGACAUCGCUGGUGCAGGAGAGGGUCUCUGGAGGAGCCAAAGGUGGGAGGAGUCAGGGCGAAGCCGAGAUAAAACAAAGGGAUCCGAGGAGCCGCCGGAUCCUCCUUGAGAGGCGCUGCUGGUGGUUGCUCGACCUGCGGCUUGACGUCCUGACAGGGCGUCCCCAGAGACGGCACAGGGCUGCAAAUAUCCAGAAGCGAUGGGGCUGGAGGACUGGCUGAGCUCUGUGGCGGUGGAAGUGAUGAUGAUGGACAUGAUGAUGGUGUUGUUAAAAAAUGAUGAAGAUUCAGGAAUCGGGUGGGAUAGGGUGGAAGUUGACAAGUCCCUAUUGAAGUCGAUCAGCCAGUCCUCUGCUUCCGUUCCCUCGUCCACUGGUGUCAUGGGCUUACACCUGUAGCGAUAUUAGCUUAAAAUAAAUAUGAUAAUUAAUCAUAACUAGUUAUAAUUAAUUAUGAAUAUUUGGAUCAGUUAAUAAAAUUAACUUAAUGUAAUAAAAUUAAUAUUACAAUCAA